rnacentral:rRNA from 1 species
GACGAACGCUGGCGGCGUGCUUAACACAUGCAAGUCGAACGGUGAAGCGCCUUCCUUUUUGGUGGGUGUGGAUGAGUGGCGAACGGGUGAGUAACACGUGAGUAACCUGCCCCCUUCUUCUGGAAAACCGCUUGAAAUUGUGGCUAAUACGGGAUAUUCUGGGUCUGUCGCAUGAUGGGUCUGGGAAAGAUAUUGUUUCGGGGGGGGAUGGGCUCGCGGCCUAUCAGCUUGGUGGUGGGGUGAUGGCCUACCAAGGCGGUGACGGGUAGCCGGCCUGAGAGGAUCGGCGGCACCACUGGUACGAAGCGGCGGCGACGCCUACUGCGGGCGGCAGCAGUGGGGAAUAGAGCACGAUGGGAGGACGGAUGAUGCAGCGCCGCGGGGUGGGAGAUGGACGUCUGCUGGUUGUGAACCUCUUUCAGGAGCGAAGCAGGGUUGGCUAGUAUGUGGGUGGGUUGACGGUAGCUGGAUAAGAAGCGCCGGCUAACUACGUG